GUCUACGGCCAUGCCAUCCUGAACAAGCCCGAUGUCUGAUCUCAAAAGCUAAACAGGGUUGGGUCUGGUUAGUGCUUGGGUGGGUAGGUGACCACCUAGGAAGACCAGGUGCUGUAGGCA
rnacentral:rRNA from 1 species